rnacentral:rRNA from 1 species
GACGAACGCUGGCGGCGUGCUUAACACAUGCAAGUCGAACGGUGAAGCUCCAGCUUGCUGGAGUGGAUCAGUGGCGAACGGGUGAGUAACACGUGAGCAACCUGCCCCAGACUCUGGAAUAAGCGCUGGAAACGGCGUCUAAUACUGGAUACGAGAUCAAGCCGCAUGGAUAGGGUCGGGAAAGUUUUUCGGUUUGGGAUGGACUCGCGGCCUAUCAGCUUGGUGGUGAGGUAGUUGCUGACCAAGGCAACGACGGAUAGCCGGCCUGAGAGCGCGAACGGCCACACUGGGACUGCGACACGGACCAGACUCCAACGGGAGGCAGCAGUGGGGAAUAUUGCACAAUGGGCGCAAGCCUGAUGAAGCGACGCCGCGUGAGGGAUGACGGCCUUCGGGUUGUAAACCUCUUUCAGCAGGGAAGAAGCGAAAGUGACGGUACCUGCAGAAGAAGCACCGGCUAACUACGUG